rnacentral:rRNA from 1 species
UGAGGAAUAUUGCGCAAUGGGCGAAAGCCUGACGCAGCGACGCCGCGUGAAGGAUGAAGGUCUUCGGAUUGUAAACUUCUGUUAAGUGGGAAGAAAGACCUUUUGUUAAUAGCAGAAGGGGAUGACAGUACCAUUAGAGAAAGCACCGGCUAACUUCGUGCCAGCAGCCGCGGUAAUACGAGGGGUGCAAACGUUAUUCGGAAUCAUUGGGCGUAAAGGGUGUGUAGGCGGCGCGUUAAGUCUGUUGUUAAAUUUCUCGGCCUAACCGGGGUACAGCGACAGAUACUGGCGUGCUAGAGGAUGGAAGAGAGAGGUGGAAUUCUCGGAGUAGCGGUUAAAUGCGUAGAUCUCGAGAGGAACACCGAUGGCGAAGGCAGCCUCUUGGUCCAAUCCUGACGCUGAGACACGAAAGCGUGGGUAGCAAACAGG